rnacentral:SRP_RNA from 1 species
GCCAGACAAGGUGGCGCACGCCUGUAGUCCCAGCUACUCGGGAAGCUGAGACGGGAGGAUUAUUUGAGCCCAGGAGUUCUGGGCUGUGGUGCACUAUGCCAAUCAGGUGUCCGCACUAAGUUCGGCAUCAAUAUGGUGACCUCCCGGGAGCGGGGGACCACCAAGUUGCCUAAGCGAACCAGCCCAGGUCGGAAAUGUUGCAAGUCAAAACUCCUGUGCUGAUCUGUAGUGGGAUUGUGCCUGUGAAUAGCCACUGCACUCCAGCCUGGGCAUCAUAGUGAGACCCCAUCUCU